rnacentral:rRNA from 1 species
UACGUAGGGUGCAAGCGUUGUCCGGAAUUAUUGGGCGUAAAGAGCUCGUAGGCGGUGUGUCGCGUCGGCCGUGAAAACCUGCAGCUUAACUGUGGGCUUGCGGUCGAUACGGGCAUCACUGGAGUUCGGCAGGGGAGACUGGAAUUCCUGGUGUAGCGGUGAAAUGCGCAGAUAUCAGGAGGAACACCGGUGGCGAAGGCGGGUCUCUGGGCCGAUACCGACGCUGAGGAGCGAAAGCGUGGGGAGCGAACAGG